rnacentral:ribozyme from 1 species
AACUCAGCUAGGGAGAGUAGCGAGCAUUACGUAAUACUACGUAUUACUCCAAUAACAUUGUCACUGAUGAGACCUAGACGAAACUACGGUAAACAUUUGCAUCAUACUGUAGUCUGAUA